CGAAUGGAAGAUAGUACGAUUAUGUACUUUGAAGACUGUUUUCUCUUUUCUCAUUUCUUUUUCUUUUCCUUUUUCAGGGUCGCAUUUACUUUCAUCGCAUAAACAUUGAAACUUUGGGAGUAGCGUGAGCGGAAAGAAU
ensembl:ncRNA F16F9.10 ncRNA